rnacentral:rRNA from 1 species
ACCGGUGGUGGAGGGUGGGGGAGUGAGAAUGCAGGCAUGAGUAGCGACAAGGCAAGUGAGAACCUUGCCCGCCGAAAGACCAAGGGUUCCUGGGCCAGGCCAGUCCGCCCAGGGUGAGUCGGGACCUAAGGCGAGGCCGACAGGCGUAGUCGAUGGACAACGGGUUGAUAUUCCCGUACCCGUGUGUGGGCGCCCGUGACGAAUCAGCGGUACUAACCACCCAAAACCGGAUCGAUCACUCCCCUUCGGGGGUGUGGAGUUCUGGGGCUGCGUGGGAACUUCGCUGGUAGUAGUCAAGCGAAGGGGUGACGCAGGAAGGUAGCCGUACCAGUCAGUGGUAACACUGGGGCAAGCCGGUAGGGAGAGCGAUAGGCAAAUCCGUCGCUCACUAAUCCUGAGAGGUGACGCAUAGCCGGUUGAGGCGAAUUCGGUGAUCCUCUGCUGCCAAGAAAAGCCUCUAGCGAGCACACACACGGCCCGUACCCCAAACCGACACAGGUGGUCAGGUAGAGCAUACCAAGGCGUACGAGAUAACUAUGGUUAAGGAACUCGGCAAAAUGCCCCCGUAACUUCGGGAGAAGGGGGACCGGAAUAUCGUGAACACCCUUGCGGUGGGAGCGGGAUCCGGUCGCAGAAACCAGUGAGGAGCGACUGUUUACUAAAAACACAGGUCCGUGCGAAGUCGCAAGACGAUGUAUACGGACUGACGCCUGCCCGGUGCUGGAAGGUUAAGAGGACCCGUUAACCCGCAAGGGUGAAGCGGAGAAUUUAAGCCCCAGUAAACGGCGGUGGUAACUAUAACCAUCCUAAGGUAGCGAAAUUCCUUGUCGGGUAAGUUCCGACCUGCACGAAUGGCGUAACGACUUCUCAACUGUCUCAACCAUAGACUCGGCGAAAUUGCACUACGAGUAAAGAUGCUCGUUACGCGCGGCAGGACGAAAAGACCCCGGGACCUUCACUACAACUUGGUAUUGAUGUUCGGUACGGUUUGUGUAGGAUAGGUGGGAGACUGUGAAACCUCGACGCCAGUUGGGGCGGAGUCAUUGUUGAAAUACCACUCUGAUCGUAUUGGGCAUCUAACCUCGAACCCUGAAUCGGGUUUAGGGACAGUGCCUGGCGGGUAGUUUAACUGGGGCGGUUGCCUCCUAAAAUGUAACGGAGGCGCCCAAAGGUUCCCUCAACCUGGACGGCAAUCAGGUGGCGAGUGUAAAUGCACAAGGGAGCUUGACUGCGAGACUUACAAGUCAAGCAGGGACGAAAGUCGGGAUUAGUGAUCCGGCACCCCCGAGUGGAAGGGGUGUCGCUCAACGGAUAAAAGGUACCCCGGGGAUAACAGGCUGAUCUUCCCCAAGAGUCCAUAUCGACGGGAUGGUUUGGCACCUCGAUGUCGGCUCGUCGCAUCCUGGGGCUGGAGCAGGUCCCAAGGGUUGGGCUGUUCGCCCAUUAAAGCGGCACGCGAGCUGGGUUUAGAACGUCGUGAGACAGUUCGGUCUCUAUCCGCCGCGCGCGUCAGAAACUUGAGGAAACCUGUCCCUAGUACGAGAGGACCGGGACGGACGAACCUCUGGUGCACCAGUUGUCCCGCCAGGGGCACCGCUGGAUAGCCACGUUCGGUCAGGAUAACCGCUGAAAGCAUCUAAGCGGGAAACCUUCUCCAAGAUCAGGUUUCUCACCCACUUGGUGGGAUAAGGCCCCCCGCAGAACACGGGUUCAAUAGGUCAGACCUGGAAGCUCAGUAAUGGGUGUAGGGAACUGGUGCUAACCGGCCGCAAACUUACAACACCC